CACGUAGGGUGCGAGCGUUGUCCGGAAUUAUUGGGCGUAAAGAGCUCGUAGGCGGUGUGUCGCGUCGGCCGUGAAAACCUGCAGCUUAACUGUGGGCUUGCGGUCGAUACGGGCAUCACUGGAGUUCGGCAGGGGAGAACGGAAUUCCUGGUGUAGCGGUGAAAUGCGCAGAUAUCAGGAGGAACACCGGUGGCGAAGGCGGUUCUCUGGGCAUGAUCUGACGCUGAGGAGCGAAAGUGUGGGGAGCGAACAGG
rnacentral:rRNA from 1 species